UAAGGAAUAUUGGUCAAUGGACGCAAGUCUGAACCAGCCAUGCCGCGUGGAGGAUGAAGGUCCUCUGGAUUGUAAACUUCUUUUAUCUGGGACGAAACACUUCUUUUCUAAGAGGCCUGACGGUACCAGAUGAAUAAGCACCGGCUAACUCCGUACCAGCAGCCGCGGUAAUACGGAGGGUGCAAGCGUUAUCCGGAUUCACUGGGUUUAAAGGGUGCGUAGGUGGGUAUGUAAGUCAGUGGUGAAAUCCCCGAGCUUAACUUGGGAACUGCCAUUGAUACUAUAUAUCUUGAAUACCGUAGAGGUAAGCGGAAUAUGUCAUGUAGCGGUGAAAUGCUUAGAUAUGACAUGGAACACCAAUUGCGAAGGCAGCUUACUAUGCGGUGAUUGACACUGAGGCACGAAAGCGUGGGUAGCAAACA
rnacentral:rRNA from 1 species